rnacentral:rRNA from 1 species
AUAGCGUAUAUUAAAGUUGUUGCAGUUAAAAAGCUCGUAGUUGAACUUCAGACCUGGCUGGGCGGUCCGCCUAACGGCGUGUACUGUCUGGCUGGGCCUUACCUCUUGGUGAGCCGGCGUGCCCUUUAUUGGUGUGCGUCGGGGAACCAGGACUUUUACCUUGAGAAAAUUAGAGUGUUCAAAGCAGGCCUGUGCCCGAAUACAUUAGCAUGGAAUAAUAAAAUAGGACGUGCGGUUCUAUUUUGUUGGUUUCUAGAGUCGCCGUAAUGAUUAAUAGGGAUAGUUGGGGGCAUUGGUAUUGAGUCGCUAGAGGUGAAAUUCUUGGAUUGACUCAAGACCAACUAUUG